rnacentral:lncRNA from 1 species
CUUCUUGCAUUGAGGGACCUCUUUGAUCCUUUACUUCGACAGCAUCUAGGGUUCCUCGAACAAUGUGAUAUCUUACACCGAGUAAAUCCUUAACCCUUCUCCCUCUUACUAAGAUUGAAGAACGUUCUUGUAAAUUAUGGCCAAUACCGGGUAUAUAAGCAGUGAUUUCAAAUCCGGAGGUUAAUCAUACUUUGGCAACUUUACGUAAGGCAGAGUUUGAUUUUUUUGGGAUGAUAAUGGAAAAGUUGACAGAUGAAUCAACCUUACUGCCACUCUAAAGAACCGUACAUGAGAUUUUCACCUCGUACGGCUCUUCGUUCAAUUCUUUCGAAUUCAUUGGAUCCUUUUCCGUGUUCGAGAAUCCUCUCCCGUCUUCUACUCUAUCCUGAAGAGUAACUAGGACCAUUUAGUCAUGUUUUCAUAUUCCAAUUGAACACUUUCCAUUUUUGAUUAUUUUCAAAGGAUUU